rnacentral:rRNA from 1 species
CCUACGGGGGGCUGCAGUGGGGAAUAUUGCACAAUGGGGGAAACCCUGAUGCAGCAACGCCGCGUGAGUGAUGAAGGCCUUCGGGUCGUAAAGCUCUGUCCUAAGGGAAGAAUACUGACGGUACCUUAGGAGGAAGCCCCGGCUAACUACGUGCCAGCAGCCGCGGUAAUACGUAGGGGGCUAGCGUUAUCCGGAAUUACUGGGCGUAAAGGGUGCGUAGGCGGCCCUUCAAGUCAGAGGUGGAAGGCUACGGCUCAAACGUAGUAAGCCUUUGAAACUGUAGGGGUUGGGUGCAGGAGAGGGGGAGUGGAUUUCCAGUGGAGGGGGGGAAAGCCUAUGUAUUGGGGGGAACACCGGGUUGGGAGGGGGGUUUUUUGGAUGUAAACUAAGGCUGGGGACCAAAAGGUGGGGAGCGAACAGGAUUAGAUACCCCGGUAGUC